rnacentral:rRNA from 1 species
CCUACGGGUGGCAGCAGUGGGGAAUCUUGCGCAAUGGGCGAAAGCCUGAUGCAGCGACGCCGCGUGAGGGAUGAAGGUCUUCGGAUCGUAAACCUCUGUCCGCAGGGAAGAACGGUCACUGUGCUAAUCAGCAGUGAAUUGACGGUACCUGCACAGGAAGCACCGGCUAACUACGCGCCAGCAGCCGCGGUAAUACGGCGGGUGCGAGCGUUAAUCGGAAGUACUGGGCGUAAAGCGCUCGUAGGCGGUAUGUCAAGUCACGGGUGAAAUCCCCGCGCUCAACGUGGGAACUGCAUUUGAAACUGGCAAACUGGAGUGUGUGAGAGGAUAGUGGAAUUCCAGGUGUAGGAGUGAAAUCCGUAGAGAUCGGGAGGAACAGCAGUGGCGAAGGAGACUAUCUGGCACAUAACUGACGCUGAGGAGCGAAAGCGUGGGUAGCAAACAGGAUUAGAUACCCUUGUAGUC